rnacentral:rRNA from 1 species
CAGUCGCCACGGGAAUACGAAGGGUGCAAGCGUUAAUCGGAAUUACUGGGCGUAAAGCGUGCGUAGGCGGUGAGUUAAGUCUGCUGUGAAAUCCCCGGGCUCAACCUGGGAAUGGCAGUGGAUACUGGCUCGCUAGAGUGUGUCAGAGGAUGGUGGAAUUCCCGGUGUAGCGGUGAAAUGCGUAGAGAUCAGGAGGAACAUCAGUGGCGAAGGCGGCCAUCUGGGACAACACUGACGCUGAGGCACGAAAGCGUGGGGAGCAAACAGGAUUAGAUACCCGCGUAGUCCCUGUCUCUUAUAC